rnacentral:rRNA from 1 species
AAUCAACGCUGGCGGCGUGCCUCAGACAUGCAAGUCGAACGAUUAAAGCUCUCUUCGGAGAGUGCAUAGAGUGGCGCACGGGUGAGUAACACGUAAGUAAUCUACCUUCGAGUGGGGAAUAACGUCCGGAAACAGACGCUAAUACCGCAUAAUGCAGCGGCAUCGCAAGAUGACAGUUGUUAAAAAUCUAUCGCUUAGAGAGGAGCUUGCGGCAGAUUAGCUAGUUGGUAAGGUAAUGGCUUACCAAGGCUACGAUCUGUAACCGGUCUUAGAGGACGGUCGGUCACACUGACACUGAAUAACGGGUCAGACUCCUACGGGAGGCAGCAGUCGGGAAUUUUGGGCAAUGGGCGAAAGCCUGACCCAGCAACGCCGCGUGAAGGAUGAAGUAUUUCGGUAUGUAAACUUCGAAAGAAUGGGAAGAAUAAAUGACGGUACCAUUUAUAAGGUCCGGCUAACUACGUGCCAGCCGCCGCGGUAAAAC